AUAAGUUCUUUGAAAUUCCGAAAUCUGAUUUUUUAUAUUUUCAAUUUGAGACCCAAUCAAGUUUGAACUACAUCAAGGCAGCCCAACGAUUCGGAAUUCAUUGUCUCCUAGCACUAUGGAGGCUUUGAUUUGGAUCAAAUGGAAGUCAAUUCAAGUUCGAGAGGUGAUAGACUUUGCGGAGAGCUAUGAGGAGGAUGUUAAUCACCCUAGAAGCAGGACAACUUCGGAAAAAGAGACUCCAUCUCAAUCUACAAUAGUUGCAAAUUGAUAGUUUGACUUUGAUACACUAUUGGUUUUAUGAUGUCACUUGGAGUUGGCAAAUGAUUUCUUAUGUUGUUACCUUUAUUAUUAUUUUUUUGUUUUAAUGUAUUUCCAUUGGUG